rnacentral:lncRNA from 1 species
GCUUUGGCUGCGGGAGUGAGUGUGAGUGUGAGAGCAAGAACAGCCCGCAGGUCCCGAGGCGCUUGCAGGGGACUCUGCCGCGGAAAGUUCCCAGUCCCCAGCCGCAGAAGCUUUUUAUUUUUGGUUGAUUCCUGCUGUCUACUCCUCUUGGUGAAGUCCUUCUACCUAGUUCCCCUUCCUUGUGCACAGAAGAGGACUGGAAAACUCCUCACAGGACUGCAUACUGCUAUCUCUGAGAAACCAGAAAGAAGAAAGUACCUCUUCCUUCCAAGCUUCUACCUAAGAGUAUACUGGAAGGUUUACCUAGAGCAACAAGACAACGAAAUGGAUUGUCCUUCUCACGCUAGUCCACACACAAUCCUCAUCAUUUUGAUAAGAUAGCAUGAAGUCUCUUAUCGCUUGUGGAUCCAGCACUUUGGUUCAGGUUCAUCUGCCCAUAAUUCUCUAAGAUUUGGAGCUGUUGAGGAGUGGCUCAUAGUAGACACUGAACCAUCAGCCAACAGCAUUUGUUGUCCUGGAUGUCUGUGCCAACCUUUCGAGUCACACUGGGGUCUAAAGACACACCUGGAAUAAAAAUCAGAAUGCUUAAGAAACUUAAUAUGAUCUGCGGGAGAAUACAUGAGGUUUUUGUUUCAUACCACAGUCUGAUGACAGCAUGGAUUUCAACUGAUGAUGUUCACCUUUGCCUCUUGGGUCAAUAUGUGAGCUCAGAGAUUUCCCUGCUUUUGUUCUGUCAUUAUGGAUUCUAAACUUCUGAAACUACAUACUCAAUUAAAUGUUUUCUUUUAUAAAUUA